UACAGAGGUCCCAAGCGUUGUUCGGAUUCACUGGGCGUAAAGGGUGCGUAGGUGGCGAGGUAAGUCGGAUGUGAAAUCUCCGAGCUCAACUCGGAAAUGGCAUUGGGAAACUACCUUGCUCGAGGGUCGGGAGGGGGGACUGGAAUACUUGGUGUAGCAGUGAAAUGCGUAGGAUAUCAAGUGGAACACCAGUGGCGAAGGCGAGUCCCUGGACGACUCCGUGACACUGAGGCACGAAAGCUAGGGGAGCAAACAGGAUUGAGAUACCCCGUGUA
rnacentral:rRNA from 1 species